rnacentral:lncRNA from 1 species
CCCGGCUUUUCUACGGCAGGCGGCAGGACCGCGCCUGAGAUGGUCAACUCUGCAAGCAUUGCCGCGGCCUUCGCCCGACGUCAAGGUUCUGCUUUGAUCAUUUCAUAGGGACAGCGGUUGAGUAUUGUUCGGCAGGGCCCGGUCUCCUUACGCAACGCCCUCAAUCCAUCAGACCCUAGUUCCGGGCACAUAACCUCACCGUCGGCGUAGGCCUGGGCGGUGUAUCGUGCGGACAUGCAAGGCGUGUGCGCAUUCGAUGCGGCAUGGCAUGGUGCGGCACGCAAAGAGGGC